rnacentral:sRNA from 1 species
UCAUAAUAUCAUUCAUAAUAUGUGAUAGU